rnacentral:rRNA from 1 species
UACGUAGGGUGCAAGCGUUAAUCGGAAUUACUGGGCGUAAAGCGUGCGCAGGCGGUUCGCUAAGACAGAUGUGAAAAUCCCCCGGGCUUAACCUGGGAACUGCAUUUGUGACUGGCGGGCUAGAGUAUGGCAGAGGGGGGUAGGAAUUCCACGUGUAGCAGUGAAAUGCGUAGAGAUGUGGAGGAAUACCGAUGGCGAAGGCAGCCCCCUGGGCCAACACUGACGCUGAGUGAGCGAAAGCCAGGGGAGCAAACGGG